rnacentral:rRNA from 1 species
GAAACGACUCUCGGCAACGGAUAUCUCGGCUCUCGCAUCGAUGAAGAGCGUAGCAAAAUGCGAUACCUGGUGUGAAUUGCAGAAUCCCGCGAACCAUCGAGUUUUUGAACGCAAGUUGCGCCCGAGGUCUUCUGGCCGAGGGCACGCCUGCCUGGGCGUCACGCC